GACUUAAAGGAGGUAUCGGGCUUCAGUGGAGCAACUUUGCGAUUCAUCGUAGCAACGUAUCUGAUAACUCCACUGUUGCGCAUCGAUCGAAGCCCACGAGGGAUCAUUGAGCGACAGGAUCAGCAUCGAGAGCAGAUACAACGCAGUUUCCGAUCUCAUCUUCGCCGCGGUGUAUUAC
rnacentral:lncRNA from 13 species